CGUCUGCGAAUAUUUCUGCAAUCGUCAAACCUUCAAGUGCGAGGAGCGAUGACAAUUUUAAAUCCUCAGACAUCUACCAGAACUGUAUACUAAAUACUUUUCAAAGGACCCGACACAAAAUUCCAAGAAAGUUGUAGAAGAAAUGAAUAAGUCCAUAGGCUCAGUAAAGAAACGUAAACUACAGAAGUCGAUUAAAUCAAAAGCAAGUUAUCAUAAAAGAUACAGUGUUGAUUCUGGGUAUUUCUCUGAAAAUGAUGCUUGGUUCAUAAGAACGGAAAACAACGAUAUUCUCAUAUACGUCAACAAACAUGACGAUGCAGAG
rnacentral:lncRNA from 1 species